rnacentral:lncRNA from 1 species
AUGCCCAAAGAGGGCCGAUGGCGGCCCUUCCCCGCCCUCAGCCUUCUGAACUUGUGCCACCUGCUCGGUCCUUGUCCGCCUCCAUUAGGCAGGGAGGUGGCCCAAUGCAGGCCAUCGACGAGAUCUGACAGUUGCCAGCUGUGUGACCCUGGGCGAGUCACUUCCCCUGUGCCAUGUCCGUCUCCUCAUGUGGCCGCCUCAAGGGGCGCCAUCGCCUUAGCGGUGCCCACUCUUUGCUGCCCUGGCCGGUCCUCUCCUUCGGUGUUCCAGGCCCUCAGAGGGUCCCCGAAGCCUCUCCUCGGCCGACAUGGCGGACUCGGCCUUGUCCCUCCCCUCCCCCCGCCGGGGCCCCGGGGAGCGCUGGCGCCGCCUCCACCCUUCUGGGGAAGGACCCCGCUCAGCACCCGGAGCGCCUGCAUCGACGCCCGCCCUUCUGCCUGGGGGAUGCGGGGCACUGAGAGCGGCCCCUCCUCCAGGCCGGAUGCACUCCGGGUCGGCUUGGCCAUCGCGGGCGCAGGGCCCGCCUGCAGUGGCCAGCCAGAGCCUGUCGCAGACGAUCUCCCGAAGCGGGGUGAACGGAGAGCGCUCCCCAGGGGGCCGGGGGGGCCGGGGGCUUCCCUUCUCUCCCUCAAACGGCUUCUGGGCUUUCAAGGCCUGCUCAGGGGCCCGGAGCGAGGGAAGGAGCAGGCGGACAAGGGGGCGCCUCCAUUUCCGCCUGCAUUUCCGCCUGCAUUUCCGCACGAAGGACAGAUCAGGAGGGCGGGAGGGCUGCGGAAGAGCCUCGCCUACUCGGGCCCGCCUCAGCGCUCUGCGGAGCCUCACGCCCUCCUCGCCGGGUGGCCCUGGGCCAGUCAUCGCCCCUCUGGGCCCGAGCAACGGCGGCCAUCCCGGGGGCGCCCCUUGGACACUCCAGAAGUGUCGGCCCGUGUGGCCAGCUGCCUUGGCCACGGCUCAAGAGCUGGGCGGCUCGGAGGGAGGUCCCGGGUUCAAAUCCCCGGGCAAGUCACUGCCCCCCAUUGCCCAGCCCUUCCCGGACUCCAAGGCGAAAAGGAAGGUUUGCUUCAAGCAGGGGACUGGGAGGGAGGAAGCAGGGCUUUAGCCGAGCAGAUGAGGAGGCCACAUCCUCCUCUGAGGAUGUGA